rnacentral:rRNA from 1 species
UACGUAGGUGGCAAGCGUUGUCCGGAAUUACUGGGUGUAAAGGGAGCGCAGGCGGGGAGACAAGUCAGCUGUGAAAUGCAUAGGCUUAACCUAUGAAUUGCAGUUGAAACUGUUUUUCUUGAGUGGAGUAGAGGUAGACGGAAUUCCGAGUGUAGCGGUGAAAUGCGUAGAUAUUCGGAGGAACACCAGUGGCGAAGGCGGUCUACUGGGCUCUAACUGACGCUGAGGCUCGAAAGUGUGGGGAGCAAACAGGAUUAGAUACCCCU